AAAUUAAAUGCCCAUGUUUGGGCAGCUAAAUAUAUUAUUAUCUGCACAUUUUUAUGGUUUAUUUAUGUACACUGCUGUGAAGACAUGGUAUUUUUAUUUCUCUUAUUGCAAGGUCUUUUAUAGUCGCCCAUUUUCUCUUGGAAAAAAAAAAGAGAGGAUCAGAAUUAUUUUUUUAGAUGUGUAGCAGUAAUGCUCUCAGGCUUAUAACUUAAUUCUCAUUUUUAUCCUUUUUACAUUAUUAUUUAGUGAUUCACAGGGGUGUCUAAACAUUUACAGUUCUCUGUUAGCAGCAUUUCUUUUAUAACAAUUGAGCUCUCUCAUUUUAAUGAGUACUAUUCAGGUUUUUGAUUCUGUACAAUUACAGUGGGCCACAUGUCUUUAGACUUCUUUGCUAACAUUGUUUGUUUCACUUCUAUCCAAGCCAAUCUAAUCCAAAUACAAUGUGAACUGUGUUUUCUUACUGCUUAACAUCCCCUUGCUAUAUAUACUCUAGUAAUCUCUGUAGAACAAUAUACAGUAAUUUAGAAACCAUGCAUUUGUCAUUAUUGACCAAUUCGGACCAGUAGUAUUAAAGUUUUUGAAAGCAAUGAAUAUUUAUAGGAGAUUUGUGAGGGGGAGGAGGACAUGGGUUACAUCGCAUAGAAUAUUGUGACACAGUAACAUCAGAAACACAAUUAUAGUUUCACGUCAGUACAUACAUAAUGACUUCAUGCAAAAAUGAAAAACAAAACCCCUGUUCAUGUCCAAAUUACAAAGAUUAAAAGCUUAAAGGAAUAUAUUUUCCCCGAUUGUGAGUUAUAGCAACUCAAAUAUAUCAUGUUGGAAUCAGACAUCCAUAAUCUGAAUAGAAUGGGAUGCAUCAGGUAUGGUGUCUGGACUCUUUGUUUAGGGGCUGAUUUUAUGGGGCAGAACUAACCAGUGUCCACUAAAUUUCACUAUGAAACCAACUAAAUUGAUUUGAGAAAGAGUUCUUCAGAGUAACUGAACGAUAAGGCGUACACUGUUCUUAGGUCCAGUGUUAGAUAAAUCCUUUUAACAGUCUUCAGUUAGCAGGGUAAGUAAAUCACAAAUCACUGUUAGCAGAUUCAUGGAAGAAAAUUAAUAGAAUCAGACGAGAUAAUCUGAUAAGGGCAAAAUUGCUGAGGAAACAGUCUUGCCUCAUGUUGGAGGAUGUGAAACAACAGUCUGAUUACUAGGAGUCGUUAUGAAUAGGUGAAUUAUGUGCUAAAUAAUCAUCAGAGUAAUUCAGCAUUUAUUAAUUCUUUUCUCUUUAAGCAAUUCACAGUUGUAAGUUAAAGCCGCUCUCUCUUUCAAGGCACAUCUUUUAUAAUUUUUAUUAGAGGUAAUUUAUUAUUUGCAUUACCUGUAUUUACUUCAUAAUUGAACAUUUUACAUUCAAAUUUAUGUAAUGCAUUAUGCUUGAGAAUAUAUUUCUGCCUGAUUAGCAUAAAUAGUCACUUACCUCAUGAAUUACUAACAAAGUUUAUCUUAAAAUAUAGGUUUUUUUAUUAAGUGGAACACAAACAUAUGUACAAUAAAUUCUGAUUCUCCAGUGCAGUUAGAGAACAACUCACAUUUGGUUACCGGGAGGCGAGGGAGGAAGCAAAAUAUAGACAAAUGAGAUGUGUAGGUUUCUUUCCAAGGGUAUCAUUUAGAUGGGGGCGUGUGUGUAGGGUGGGGUAGGGGGCAAAGUGAAGAAGGCCCUAGGCUUUCCGUACACUGUUUGGAUUGGAUGAUCUUGACGUGAAAUGUGAAUUCUGGAAAAACCUGUAAUUAGUGAUCUCUGCCUUUGUAGAGAACCAUGAUAACAAGUAAAUUAGCACUGGAAGAAUUUGGGGGUUUAUCAUAUUUUUGUUUCAAUUAUUUGCUUAUUUGUUUUUGUCUCUGCAGGUUUCUUCCUUGGAAAACAAUAUACAUCACUUAAUGAAAUCUUUGUUUGUUUUGCACAAGAGAUGUAAAAAAUCCAGAUGUUUUCUUCAGUGAGAAUUCCUGGGAAGGUGUACCAGCCUUCUUCUCUUUCUUCACCUGACAAAGACACCCAACACGGCCUCUCAGACCGGAGGUGUUUAAUAUAUAGUUUUGACACGCAUGAACAUGGGAAUGAAAGGGCUCCUUUUGGUUUUAGACAAUAGACAGAGCUAUAAAAUGAUGAUGGAGCCUGUUUUCCCCACUCUUGUCAUUUUAAGUCAAUAGAUUUCCUGGGUUUCUUCCCCCGCCCCCCCACUUUGCCUUUUCAGGGGAUAGGCAUCUCCUUAGAUUUUUGUUUUUCUUCACUUAGGGUCAGCUUUAUGAUUCGUUCUUCUGCUGUCAUCCUUUUUCAUCCUAUUCACAGCCUGUACCGGUGAGGGAAUUUGUCUCAAAAGCAUUCAGCCCUUCAAAGAUUUUUAUUGUGGUGAACUCAGAACUGAUAAACAGAAAAACAGAAACAGAAAAAGGGAACUGAUAUGGGGGCGAUCUUGAUGCGGGUUGUGUCUCUCAUGCAUGAUAACUCAGAGGACAGGCUCCUCGGUAGUGCGGUAGUGCUAACUCUGUGAAGUUUCUUCACCCUCCUUCCUAGCCCUGGAGGCGGGGUGAUUCAUAGCUCCUGUUCCAAAGGCAUUCAGCAGCCAUUCGACCUGGGAAAGAAACAGAGUUUUAGAAAAUACAGGCCAAAUGUAGAGACGCCUGUGAUUACCAGGAUGAGUAUGUCAGUGCAGGUGGCUUCUGAAUUUCUGUUUCUGAGUUUGUUUGGCUGAUGCCUAAGGAAAGGGGUCCCUUACAGCCCUGUUUUAUACCUUAGUUCUUGGUGGCAACGUGGGUGUUGCUGAUCUCUCUGAUGUGUUUUUCUGUGCACUGAAAACACCAGACAUGCUCCGUGACAUCCUCGGAGCAUCUCCCAUCAUAAUGGAGUGUUCCUAACCUGACAAAGAAUAGCAUAUUACCUCCCCAUCUACUCAAAAUAAAAUUAUAGUAAAAUUUAUCGCCCUUCUGCUAAUAUUUUUUAUUUAGUAACUUUAUAACAGUGAUACAUACUCCUUAUUAAAUAUAAACAUUUGAACAGGACAGAAAUAGAAGGAUAUUCAAUAAAAGAACUGCUACUCCUCAUCUCCACCCCAGUCCUUAAACCCUGGUCUCGGGGGUUACCAUCUGUAAUAGUUGGGGUAUAUGUGGGUACUUUUUACAGAAUGGCAUCGAAGCAUGUACAUAGUUCUUUAACUUGUGCUCCCUUUAAAACACAUUCAUGUUAACAAUCUCAGAAAGAGAUGUUGGGCACUUCUGUCUUCUUUGGCAGAACUCGCCUAAUGGAACCUCAGACCGGGGGAAGUUUGGAGAUCUGAUCUUAACCUCGUCCUUCCAACCGGUAUAGGAGCUUGAAUCUGCUUUAGGUUUAGAUCACCAACUUCCCUGCCAUUUCCUGACGCCAAUUUUGAAGCCAGGGGGCUCAGAGGCAUUUUCUUCAACAGAAGAGUUCAGAGUUUCAGUGUCCACCUUUGAGCUGCAACUAGUCCCUCAGUGGUGUAAAUAUGCAUGCUGCUGCAGAAUCUCCUGUUCCAGGAUCCCACCUCGACCCCUUUCAGAGAAAUCUGGGAAUGAGAGAAGGAACCGGCCCAGGAGUGAUUUAUGACCUGCUGUCUGUGUCCUGCCUGAGGAAGCAUGGCUCUGGCUGUUUGAAGCAGACCCAGACUGGGAUCCUCAGAGAUUGGAAGGAGUGAUGGGGACCCUUCAGGAAAAUGUCACCGACCGUUGACUCUCAGCUCAGCUCGAAGCUGCUGAUGAGGGGGUAGGCUUGGUUGCUGUCACAGUGAUGUGAGCUCAGGCAGUUGGGGUUGGGGAAGAGGGACCAGCCAGGAGACAAAGCAUCUGAGUUCAGCACCCGGGUCCUCCUCUGAUUCACCCUCUGACCUCAGCAAAGCCCUUCACUCUCUUCCUUCAACUCAUUUUUCAGGCUGCAAAUGGACUGAGCUGCGUGAAGCGGUAAAAAACAAACCUGCUUGCAUGGAAGGAAUGUUCCUAGCCAUUUGAGGCUGAAUAUAGGGUGGGUAUAAAUAGGGACCAGACUCCCAUAGACAGAAGGAAGCUGGCAUGCCCGGGCUGCCAUGGAGCAUUGAUGGGUCAUGGUGGCAACGUUGGAAUAUCAGAGACGCUGGAAUAUCACACUGGAAUAUUUCGAGGUCAAAACAACAGACACAUCAAGGCAGGGUCAGAAUGGCACAGUCAACCCCUCCUGCAUCUCCAAGCCAGAGGAUGCUGUUGUUUUAGGCUGACAUUGUUCAGAGCCUUUGGUGGCAGCACAGUGAGGAGGAUCACUGGGCAGGGAGACAUACCCUGGAGGUGCCUGAUGCCAAAAUGAGGAUGUAAAUCCUGCUCUGCCCCAGGUGUAAGACCUUGGGCAAAUUAGCUGACCUCUCUGAACCCGUCUUUUUCUUAGUGAGAGGUAGACAGGAAUCUUGUGAUCAUGAUGAGCAUGUAUACCAAGUGUUUGGCAUGGUGCCUGCCCCGAGCGAACGCUCAAAAGAGCAGGCUCUGUUAACAUGUGCCAGGGACUCUGCCCACACUCUAUACACGUCAUUUUACAGUAUGGGGCCCAGGGCAUAGAAGGAACUUGAGAAAUAACAAUAGUUUCCCCUCUUCUCUCUGCUCUGCUCCUGCCUUAAAGUUGUAUUUACCUCGUAACCUGUCCUCUUUCUCUCCUUCUCUCCUAAGUCUUUGCACGAUUUUGCUCCCUCUUCCCACUUUCCCUGCCCUCUGCUUUAUUUCCUGGCUAAUUUUGACUCUUCUUCAGGUCUUGCAUUUCCUCUUAAAAGCCUUACUUGUGUUCUCUUUGCCCACUGGCCCCCAAGGCAGGCCAGGUGCCCACUCUGUCUGCUGGUUUGUGUUUGAGUCCUCACAGUGCCCCAGGAGUUCCUACCCACCUGUGAACUGCUUAAAGCCAGGGACACCGCCUCUCAUCUCUCCAUCUCCUUCACCUGCUACAGAGCUCAGCAUACAGUAAGCGCUCCAUAAAUGUUUCUUCAGUGAACAUGAUCACACUGUCUGAUUCCUGGCUUCUUUUUUUGAGGCUUGAACCUACACAGAAUGUCCUGUCAAAUGUCCCAGAAAACAUGACUUUGAAAGGGACAGGGUGGCUGGCUCCUGUGUUGCAACACAGCACUUCUUACCUUCGCCUCUCACUAGUCUGAUUGGCCCAUCUUUCAAUUACCAGGAUGCUUAUCUUGCUCACUCAUUAGCCUAUAUCCCUUAGCUGGCAUUGAGUGGACAACAUGGUUGAGAUAUGCGAGCUCUGGAACUGAAGUGGGCUGCAGUCAAAUCUUGCUGGGAUUGGUUUUUGGAGGAAGGGAGGCUUGGGAUUAAGUGGCUGAGUGUAAGUGGGGCAUCCUAUUCCAGCACUGCCUGCUGCUGCUAGAGAGAGCCCUGGUGCAGCUUUGAGUCACAGCUGCUUUUCCCAGGACUUCAAGGCACACAGACACUAUUUUGUAAGCUUCAGAUAAGAAUGCAAGGCCCGCCCUCAUUUCCACAUACCCAAAUCAUGCCCAUUCUUCCAGGCACAGCUCAUAUGAGAUGUGACGUUGCACCUGAAGCUCAGAGCAGAGUGUCGGGCAUCCAUUAGUAAAAGUUUGAUGCUAAUACUAAGCCCCCAGCUCCAGAAGCCCUCCUGCGCUCCUACCUUUCAUUCCUGUAUCCUCACAGUUGUAGUUCGACCUCUCUUUGGGAGCCUCACAAUGUAUCCAACAGGUAGAGUAUCACCUUGCUGAUUGUGUGAUCUUAGAAGAGUUCUCGACGUGCUUUUUGAGUCUCAUUAUCUUCAUCUGUAUAAUGGAAUGUCAAUUCAGCCUCUUUGGGUUGCAAGUGAACAAAAUUUGACCUGAAUUUGUUUAAGCAAAAAGGAUUCUCAUUGGCUUGCAUGGCCCAAAAUCUAGGGACAGGACUAGUUGGGAUCAGGGGUCAUAUAGUGUCAUUGGAACUGGCUUCCUUCCAUCUGUGUGGACUCCAGACCAGGGCUCUGCAUAAGAGUGUGAUAAUUGUAGUAGUUCCAGCCUUUAAUCCUCCUAUGCUGAGUUCAUGGGAGUCAGUUGGAGGCCCCAGUAGGGCGCUCAAAGUCGCGGUUUGGGUUGCAUGGGUCUAGUUCAUUUGACUGCUUAUAGGCUCAUCCCCGAGCCCACCCCUGUGGCAAAGAGAUGAAAUAUCUAAUUGGCUGAGACUUGGACUCAGAUAUGGUAUGGGACAGGGGCCUGGAGAAUUCUCUGAGCCUGUCUGAGUGUGAUGGAAAUGCCAUCACCCAGGGCGACACUGAGGAACCCAGCAUUAAAUGGCAGCAUUACUAACAGCCAACUCAGACAUGAUAUUCACCUGGGCCUUGCCCUUAGUUUUAACUUAUCAGAUUGUCACAGCAACCCUAUCAGAUAUGUGCUGCUGUUAUUUACAUUUGAUGGAGGAUGUUACUAAGGUACCCCCUUAGUUUCCCCUUAGGCACUGCCUUAGAGGGCUUUUCCAGGGCCACAUAGCAGGUGUAGUACAAGAUGUAAAUCCAGGCAUGGCUGCAAAGUUUGCACACACAACUCCUUUCCUUUAUUAUGUAUUGUAGGAGGGAGCCAGUCAAGAAAUGAAAGGUAACAAAACAGAUAAGUAACAUAUAAUAUAUUACGAUGUAAUGUAAUAUGAUAUAGUAUAGUAUCAUAUAAUAUAGUAUAUUACUAUAUAAUAUAGUAACAUAUAUCAUAUCAUAUCAUAUGGUAUCAUGGCAAACACUGGUAAAUGGUCCAUCUUUGUAUCUAUCCCUAAAACAUCUGUUGUGAGUGUGUCUUAGGGAGCUGUUGAGUGAGUGUUGACCAGCUGACCAAGUGACUCAUUUUAUGGGCACAGUGUGAAUCCUUAGAUCCAAGAAGAUUGCUUCUGUCAUCGCAACAUCAUUAUUAUAACAUUCUUGUUUGUUUUGGUUUCACAAGAAUAGCAAAUCAU
rnacentral:lncRNA from 1 species